AACUUUGCUUCAGGAUGAGAACAGAAAUUGUGCAGCGGCGGCGCAGUCCGUUUGACUUCCAAAAUGUUCGAAAACCAAAGUGCAGCUUCUGAUUGGCUGCGGAAGCCCCGUUGGACAUUCAGCUUCUAGAAAUAGUUCGCAAACCGGAACAGUCACUUCCAGGUUUGCAGCGUUCGGGAGCCAAAAUGUUCGGGAACUAAGCUGUUCCAAAACCAAUUUGGAAAUAUUAAAUUUCAGAGUUAUACUUUAGCUGUUGCAUCAUGAUAUUAGAGACAAAUAUAAUCUUACAAAAUGAAUAAAAUUUAAUGUUCAGUAGUGUUGAUUACUAGCUGAUACACCAAGGGAUAUAUUGGAUAGAAAUGUAUUUCUUAAUAGCUUGAAUAUUCUUAUUGUAUUCCCAUGAUGGUCAUAUGAAUCUGUCUCAAGUGAGAUCCCAAUUGCCUUUCUUAUUCAAGCAAAUGGUAUCCAGUAAUUCCUUGUCUAUAAUUGAGCAGUACAUCACUUCUCUGAUAGUGAACUCAGGUGGCAAGCAGUGACAGAAAUGGAGUGCAAACACUGAGAGAAACAAGAGGGAGGGAUAUCUGCAUUCUUGGGGGAACCCUGAGGUUUGCGGAGGAACAAAUAAACCCUUCCCCAAAGCGCAAUGAGCACUGAGCAUGCACAGAAGCCAUGGAAAGUUGAGUGUAAGUUGGAAAUGGAAGUCAUAAAAGUGGGGUAGAUGGGGAGUAAAAUUGAAUAUCCUGGAGGAGGGCCUGGCUGGUUGGAUGCACCCCUGAAUAAGAGUGUGUCCGCUAGAAGAUUGCAGUGUUCCACAGCAUUUUAUUGCAGUUACACUUGUCAAUUUUUCUAAUUAAUUAUAUUUGAACUACAACUACCUAUCUUCAUUAAAAAAAAUGAGGCUUACAAUAUACCCUUAUUUGGUUUUUAAUGAGUAGCUUGUUGGUAGUUAAUGGUCUAUGCAAAAGCAGACAUUUUCACAGUCAUUUGUAUUGGUUAGAUAUGUGUUAUACAGAUGCUGCUUUGAGUUCUGUUCAGUAUUCAAACAAUGGUGUGUGGUCUUUAACCAAUUAAAAUAUCAUCAAAAGAUAUUGUGUAUGCUUCUGUUUGAAAAGGAUACAUUACUGUCAAGUGUGGCAUAUCUGAAUUGCCAGAUGUGAAAAUAUGUAAAGAGAAUAUAAGUAAAAAUGCCAAUGAGAUAAUGACAGCCAGGAAAACCAAUAUAGUGUGUUUUAGUUUAAUUUACUAUUUAUAUAUUGGUAAAAUUAGUGUGUGUUUUUCAUAUAAUGAGAUUGUUUUAUUUAAUUACAGUAUUUUCCCUUUUCUGUUUUGCUUGAUGAACUAUAAUUAUUUCUCUUUCUGUUCUAAUCUGUUUUUAGUCCAGCAGCUAAAACUAUGCAUCACUCAGUUAAUGUGUUCUUAUUGUUUAGCUGCAUUUCUUCCCAGUAAGCUACAUUUGGAUGAACAUAGCUUGUUUUAUUAAACUGAGAAAUGCACUAGCUUGGCCACACACACUUUCAGCCUGUUCAUAUACCUCUUUGCACAAGGAGUUAAAUCAGCUAAUUCCUGUUUUCUCUGUUUUGGGAAACUAUGGGUGGUAUUCAGAUAAGAUAUGAAUACAACCCUGUGGUUUUAUUUGAGAAGACACCAGGGUAGUACACCAACUUAAAUCAUUAAUUUAAUAUAUUGGCUUCUUCUGAUGUUGGCAAUGAUAAUUUCCCAGUUUGGGUGAAACAGGAGAAUUAGGGAUUUUCUGUUUGGUUUGCUGCAUGCUGUGAAGGCGUCUGCAUGGUGGGGGUGGGCAGGCCCAUUUAUGAUUCAACGAUGGUUUAAGACAAGGCAUAGCUCAUUGUUCAGACGGUUUGAAUUUAUUCUAGUGAUGCAUUUCAGAUUUUAGUUUAAACAGGCUAAGGCAACACACAUGCAUAUGCAUGCAUAAUGCCAUAAACACAUGUAUACUCCAUAGGCUAUUGGUUUUUCAUCAUGUGGUAUGUACAAGCUCACCAUACACAAUGAUUAAAAACAUGCUGGGUACCCAGUGGCGUAGGAAGAGGAGUGCGGGGGGAGCGCACCGCCCCUGCCAGCACGAUCCUGGUGGGGUGCCAUCGUGGCUGCCCCCCUGUCCACGCUGGGCACCACGCCCCCGCAGGCGACGUGCCACGACCCUGCGGGCAGCACACCACACCCCCAGGACGUCCGCCAUGCCUCUGUGGGCAGUGCACCAACCCCGCCCCGCCCCACCUGCUCUCUGCCCCCCCCCAGUGCCGGAGCAUGAAGCUCUGCCACUGUGGAUACCUUGUUUCAAAUGAUUCUGUUUGGAAGAGCUUAUUACAACACAUCUUUAUUAGCAAAACUAUGGAAAACUUUUUUCCCAUUUGAUUUUCAAAGAUAUGGAUUUCCCAGGUACAGUUUUUUGUUUGGAUAUUGCCAAUAACAGUGCUAUUUUUCUAGAAAAAGAGGUGCUGGGACUCACCAUGAACGCCUCCCUUGUUCUCUUAUAAUGGCAAUGGCGCCCACCUGAGGUGCUGGAACUGAGUUCUGGUGAGUUCCAGCUGAAAAAAGCCUGGUAUAUAUUUUUAAGUUGAAGACUUCAGGUGGUUGGGUUAGAUCAGAUGCAAAACAGAUGCACUAUUACACAUAAAUCUCAUGCUUGUACAUUUGAGGUUUAAUGGGCUAAGCUAAUUACAUCAUGUCAUACCUAACCAAGUAAUCAGAAAACACAUUUCUCUCCUGUUUUACAAGAUGUGCUGUGCUUAGAGUUCUGAAACUUAAUGGGCUCAUGAAAUUGCACAGUGUCACAGUUCAGCAAGAAAUCUAAAAACCUCUCUACCUUUUCUACUUUAUAAACAAUAUUACUCUUGGAUAGAGUUUUGCAUUAUUGAGUUGUGUUUGAGUUUUUCUCAUAGGCCAUAUAUUUUAAAAGAAAGUCUUCUUCACAUAGUACACUGAUGUUCAGAGAUUUUUUUUAAAAAAGUACCGUAAUUUUAUUGAAAACAUUUCAUCCUUUAGAUUUGGGCAAACACACAAGCCCAGAUUCAACUAAACAGUUGCACUAGUGGCACCCUGGCCAAUCAGUCCUGCUAGGGCAACAGAGCUUUUGCCCCCUCCCCCAAUGCACCGUGGCCCCCCAGAGUAUGUGUGUGAGAGGAGGAGAGUGGAGAUAGUUCCCUCUGGCAAGAUGAAAUGCUUACGCUGACAGAAUGAUCCUAAUAGUGUGAUGUCGAAUUCCUCCCAUUAUAUGCUAUGGUGCUAUUGAGGAGCUUAAACACUCAAUAUAGUCACAAAGUUCAUUGGGUAGCUUUGCAAAUAUCCUCCAGGAUUGCUUUGAAGAUAAAUGAGAUGAGAAUUGGAAGUGGUUGGUACACUGAAAAUUGCUAUAGGAAUUAAGUACUAUGAGCUAGAAGCAUAGCACAGUGUAAUAUGGCAUUUCUAUCUUCUUCAUUUCUUCCACCUUUUAAAAAAGCUUGUAGGCCUAUUUUAAAAUGAGCAAAUAUCUCUCUCUGACUGCAGAUGCAGCUGACGGAGAGGUUUGGCUGCAUUUGUGUUAUCUUUGCUUCAGCAACUAUGCCACUAUUUUGGAUUGCAGCCAUAAUUCCUAUGGUACAUUUUAUGUUUCAGGUUUGCAAAUAUGUGGACCUGACAGUACAAUUAAUGCUAAGAGUUCAUGACAUAACAGAAUAUACCUUUAGGUCAAAAUAUUUUACUGUGCUAGAACCUUCAUUAAAGGAUAGAUUUCCUUAAGAGAAGCAUUAGAGACUUCUCUACUUAAGUGGGUGAGUUGUUGGAUGUUGGUAGUAAAAUGAAGAAAUCUCCUGUCCCAUUUUCACUUAGGACCUACUGUAGGCAGUGUAAUGCUAUAACACAUUGCAAAGGUUGAACUAGAUGACCCUUUAAGUCCUUUCCAACUCUAUAAUUCUGUAAUAAGCAUCUUUAGGAUGAAAGUAAGUAGGGCUAUGAAUGGACAGGUGGUGGUUUUAUUCCCUUUUCAAAAUAGGGGUUGCAGUCAAUGAUCUUUCUUGGCUAAACGGAUAGCUUUCACUAGUGGGGUAGGGGGAGACAAUUUCCAGUGAUUUCAAUGUGCAGCCCCGAGCCUUCUUAAAGCAGCCCUGAAAGAUGCCCCCAUUUUCUGGAUGAGAUUUGGAGGGUGGGGGCUGCAAAAUAGAUCACCAAAAACUGCUUCUGUCCUUGUUUCUCUAAUGGAAACCUUACUAGCAGCUGAAUGAUACUGUUGGAAGCAGCCUAAGAUCAGCGUAUUCUUUUGCCAGGGAUUGC